rnacentral:rRNA from 1 species
AACGAACGCUGGCGGCAUGCCUAACACAUGCAAGUCGAACGAGACCUUCGGGUCUAGUGGCGCACGGGUGCGUAACGCGUGGGAACCUGCCCUUAGGUUCGGAAUAACUCCCCGAAAGGGGUGCUAAUACCGGAUAAUGUCUUCGGACCAAAGAUUUAUGGCCUUUGGAUGGGCCCGCGUUGGAUUAGCUAGUUGGUAGGGUAAAAGCCUACCAAGGCGACGAUGCAUAGCUGGUCUGAGAGGAUGAUCAGCCACACUGGGACUGAGACACGGCCCAGACUCCUACGGGAGGGAGCAGUGGGGAAUAUUGGGCGAGGGGCGAAAGCCUGAUCCAGCAAUGCCGGGUGAGUGGUGAAGGCCGUAGGGUUGUAAAGCUCUUUUACCCGAGAUGAUAAUGACAGUACCGGGAGAAUAAGCACCGGCUAACUCCGUG